CUCGGAAUUUCCUCGGAAAUUCCUCGGUAUAUUCCGAGGAUUUCAUUUUCCGUCGGAAUGUCCGUCAGAAUAUCGCUGUUUUCUUGUAGUGGCGACUCAUCAACAGUUCUGCUUUAGGUCUCGGCCUAUUCUCCUUUCAGGUUUCUGUUUAUCCUUUGGCCGAGAGACUGCUAGGACCCGUGCUGGUCACUCGUUUUGUUGGGGUCAGUUGAUAUUAUUUGAUGUGAUUUAUGAUUAUCUGCAUAUUGUAAGUAGUGGACUAGAAUGCAACAAGAUAGAGAUCUUUCUUCUGACAAUUUUUUUUUGUUUUAGGCAUUGAUGAUACCAAUACAGAUGAGUUAUCGAUUUAUUGCUAAUUUAUCAGGUCUCAGUCUAAGCUUACUGUUGAACUGGGCAUCAAUCCUCAUCAACGUGCUAAUUAAGUGUAAAUCCAAAAUCAAAAGCUAAUCCUUCUUCUUUCCUUCUCCUUUGUGCGGAUGUAGUAAUAUAUUUAUCAUCUGCUUAUAAUCCUUUUGAAUCAUUUAAUAAUAUGUAGGUGACCGGCUUGUUGAUCCUGCAAAACAAAGCUGUCGAAAGAAAAAAAAUUCUUCAUUUUUGUAAAAUAUGGACCACUUUUCUUUUCUCUUAUAACUUUAAUACUUUUUAUGAAACAACAUGAUCAAAGCCAAAGAGGGGCUGCUAAUUGAAUAGCUAUGAGUCUAUGACUGUAAUGUCUCUCUUUAAGACUGUUGGACCAGCUGGUGCUGGCAUACCAUUUUCAUGGAGUGAAAGGCGACUAAAAACUGCAUUUUUACCAGGAUCACAUAUGGUGUUCUUCGUCCUGAAUGUGAUAGUCGUCAUAGGAGUAGCUCUAACAUUUAAGCCGUUUUUAACCACGGCUAGAAGGUGAAUUUCAUUGGAAGUGGUGAUAGAGAAAUGUAUGGAGUCGUUCAUUCUUUUAGUUCUAGAUUCGAAAGAACCGGUAAUCAACUUGCAGUAACCUUAGGAUUUGAGUUUCUUUUUAUUUCCUUCUGUUUUGGUUGUGUGAUUUUCUACCAGACGCUAUAGAAACGUCAAUGAUAUAUAAAGCACACCAGAAAGUUAAAAGUACCAA